rnacentral:misc_RNA from 1 species
AAGUCGUAACAAGGUUUCCGUAGGUGAACCUGCGGAAGGAUCAUUACAACGUAUCCACGUACCAAACUCUCGAACUGUUCCCGACGGAGCAAAGCGCACUUGUGUGUGUAAGAAGUUAAUGGCCGCUGUCUUUCGCUGAUGGAGUUCAAUGACUUUUGUCUGAGGACUGAAAGGCUUUCGGUCGCUGGAGCUCCGGCUCUGGGGCUUUGUUUGCUUCGUUGCGGUUUCUACCGUCAGCGUGUUUUACCAUUAUUAACCCUUUGAACUCUUGAACUGAACUUGAAAGCCUCGCAACCGUCCUAGUUGGCUUCGGUCACGGACAGUGUGGCUUGGUUUUUAUCGUUUUACGAAACAAAGAACAACUCUUAGCAACGGAUAUCUUGGUUCUC